rnacentral:rRNA from 1 species
AUGUCGACAUCCACCUCAGUUGUCUCCACCGGCCUCAACAACAAUGUUUUCGAACCCCUCACUCGUUCCAAUUAUGUUCUCUGGCGUGCCCAAGCUCGUUCCCAGAUCAUGGGGGCGGGUCUCUUCGGGUAUGUCGACAAAACCCUAGAAGCGCCAUCCAAAACCAUCACCAGCAAGAACGCCGAGGGCAAAGAUCAGGUGUCUGUGAAUCCUGCUUAUGCACCUUGGCUCAUCCAAGAUCAACAGAUCGUCGCCUAUCUUCUCCGCAAUCUCUCAAAAGAGGUUCUAGUUCAAGUAGCAUCCCUAGAAACCUCCCAUGCCAUCUGGUCCGCCCUCGCCAACAUGUUUUCUGCUCAAUCUCGCUCUCGCUGCAACCACAUCCGC